AACUAGAGCAUUUUAUUUUCAAGGGAAAUAAUUGUGGUCUGACUGUAUUAUUUUGAAAAUCACAGUUGAGAUUUUUUUAUGUGUGCACCGGUACAGUUUUGCGGGGAAGCGAAAGUUGACAUGGAAUUUUGUCUUCUUCUAAAAACAAGGUAAGUUGACAGUUUUUGUUGAAAUAUAUAUCUGAUAGCUGACACAUAGGAGAAUGUUUUGGUUUAUAUCCAUCUUACAGAUUUUUUUGAAAAUGAAAAGAAACAGGGGGAAUUCUGUAAAUUUCUUCUUAUAUGCAAAUGAGCUGAAAAUGUAUUGAAAUGACUAGAUCAGAAGUUUAUGCCUUUCCAGUAAGUUUUUCCCUACCUUUGACGAUGGUUAUUAAAAAGUAUAGAUAUCAACCUCUUUGCUGAUAUUAGUACCUAAAAUUUUCAGCCUGUGAAUAGCUGUGGAAAUUUGGGACUUCCUUUUUUUGAAGAUAUAAAUAGAUCUAAGCUAUAUUUAGACUAAAGUUUUUUCAGUAUAACAGCAUGUAGAGAACCCUUACAUACAGUCAAAUAUUCUUGAUAUUGCAAGGAAAUAUAAUGCAUUUUUCAAGUGCUUGCUGUUUCUUAUGUUGUGCAUACUUGAUAUAGGUCAUUGUCAAUGUCAACUAUCAUUAUACUGACAUUUGAAGUUGUUGUUUUUUUUUCUAAAUUACCUCCCUUAUAUAUGCAUUUUUCUUCAUUCAUUUUAUUGAUAAUUACUUUCCUUUAUGUUUAGCAAAAAUUCUCAGAUUGCAUUUAAUUAACUCCCUUUAUUUAACAUGAAAAAUUCUCUUGUGUAAUGAUUAUUUGUAUAUUUUACUUACAGUGUCUGAUACAUGUAGUUGCAGUCUGUCUUUGGAAGCUGUAGAAAUAACAAGAAAGAGGCUGACAUAGUGAACUUGAAGACAAUUGUUAGUGCAGAAGGGACAUAAAAGUUAUGACAAAAGUAACAGAUAUAAAUAAGAAGUGCUACAAGUGUGUUGUCAUGUGAAAUGGAAUUUACCCCAACUGUGCUGCAAGAUGUAUAUUCAAGUGCAAGACAGCCAUGCACCAGCUGUUAACUGAGAUGGACCCAUAUAAUAAAUAUGUUGACUUUUCUAUGUAUUAUCAUCUGUACAGAAUGUGUUCAUGACAAGACUGUAUACAUAUAUUGUUAAAUCAUUUUUUAUUUCCAUUAUUGCACGCAUGUAAGAAGCAAGCAUUUAACAAUUGCAUUCAUAGAAGUGUUAAAAUGAGAUCAAUCUAAUUUAAAGAAACACAUUUAAUUGGACUUUUUAAGUUUCAUAGUAUUUGUGGUGGAGACUGACCCAGUCAUUCAGCAACUUAUACUGUCUGUGUGUCAUUUCUUGUAUGUUAUAGUUUUCUUAAUAAUACAUUAAAUGUCAAAGUUAUGGUAAGAUGAACUCAUUCAUCACUUGUAGAUUAAUGUUAAAGCAGUUCAACAUUUUACCAUAAGUUAACUAAUAUUCUAUUUAACCAGAGUUGUCACAUAUUUUCAUAUAAAUAUUUGUAUAAUACAGUCUAAUCUAAUCUACAUCUGAUGUUCCACAAUUUUUUAGUUAUAUUUGAUGUUGAUAUUUUAUGUUGUUUUCAUGUCUCAACAUAUAAUUACUAACAUCAAAGAAACUUAAGUAUUUUACAAUUUGGUUGGUAUAAUUGGUUGUUUUGUUUAUAUAUUUUAUUUUUUUCCAUCCAGGAGAAUAAAGAAAUAUACAUUUCAAAAUAGCUCAUCAUUCUAGAUAAGUACACUACAUAAUCAAGAUAAAAGAAAUAAGAACAAGAUAUGUUGGUGGAAUUUUAUUUUCAAAAAUUUGAUAUACAGUUAUUGUAGUAUUUACUUCUUUAGAUAUGUUGGACUGAAAUGGGAAUAACAGCAUACAUUAAAUUUUUGUAGUCAUAAGUUAAUAUGGGAAUUAUUAACUUAACUUAAAAAGAUUUUAUCUCACUGUUAUGCAAUCUGAGCUUUAAUAUUUUUCAACAUUGUCAUUGGCAACAAGGCUCAAAAUUAUUUGUUGUGUAUACCUUGCAUUCAUGUGUGAUAAAUGCUUUUAUGGUAUUCUUUAAUAUAAUUUAUGCUUUUCAUCUUACCAUGGAUUAAAAAAAUAUAAAUUUAUUUGUCUGAAAAUUAAGGUAAAAAUACUGACUGAUUAAAUUGCAAUAUAAGAAAACUUAUUUGAGAUAAAGGGAGGUAAUUCCAUAAAAAAAUAUGUAGAAUGUAGAUGAUAAAUGUAAUGAAGGGAGGUAAUAAAAUAUUGUGAAGUUAUUAGUCUUCAUUUCUUUGAUGAGCUAAUUAAUUGUUUUACAUUUUGGUUUAUUAACUACAAGUAUGACCUAACAUGUGUACCUGUCCUGAAGGAAAAUAAAAUAGGUUGUUUGA